UACGUAGGGUGCAAGCGUUUAAUCGGAAUUACUGGGCGUAAAGCGUGCGCAGGCGGUGAUGUAAGACAGAUGUGAAAUCCCCGGGCUCAACCUGGGAACUGCAUUUGUGACUGCAUCGCUGGAGUGCGGCAGAGGGGGAUGGAAUUCCGCGUGUAGCAGUGAAAUGCGUAGAUAUGCGGAGGAACACCGAUGGCGAAGGCAAUCCCCUGGGCCUGUACUGACGCUCAUGCACGAAAGCGUGGGGAGCGAACAGG
rnacentral:rRNA from 1 species